UCAAGCAAUGCCAGUUCUGUCU
rnacentral:misc_RNA from 1 species